rnacentral:lncRNA from 1 species
CUUGUCAUUCGUUGAUGUGGUCCUGUCAUUCUUUGAUGUGGUUAUCCCAUUACUUGAUGAGGUAAAACCACGUGACCAAUUCGGAAAACCUGUUCUUUUUUUAGAUAAAUUUCCAUGUGAAAUUUGCCUUGAAUGCGUGUGGCCUUCCAUCUAACUAGUGUUCAAAUUAAAGCUCGGGUUACUGUUUGAGUUAAACUUUGA